GACGAACGCUGGCGGCGUGCCUAAUACAUGCAAGUUGAGCGCUGAAGGUUGGUACUUGUACCGACUGGAUGAGCAGCGAACGGGUGAGUAACGCGUGGGGAAUCUGCCUUUGAGCGGGGGACAACAUUUGGAAACGAAUGCUAAUACCGCAUAAAAACUUUAAACACAAGUUUUAAGUUUGAAAGAUGCAAUUGCAUCACUCAAAGAUGAUCCCGCGUUGUAUUAGCUAGUUGGUGAGGUAAAGGCUCACCAAGGCGAUGAUACAUAGCCGACCUGAGAGGGUGAUCGGUCACAUUGGGACUGAGACACGGCCCAAACUCCUACGGGAGGCAGCAGUAGGGAAUCUUCGGCAAUGGACGAAAGUCUGACCGAGCAACGCCGCGUGAGUGAAGAAGGUUUUCGGAUCGUAAAACUCUGUUGGUAGAGAAGAACGUUGGUGAGAGUGGAAAGCUCAUCAAGUGACGGUAACUACCCAGAAAGGGACGGCUAACUACGUG
rnacentral:rRNA from 1 species